ACUCUGCCAUUCGCAGCAGACCUAGGAGAGCACGCCAUCCAGGUGCGAGAGAGUCAAGGCCUUUCUCCCAGAUAGAGUAUGAAAGGAGCCAAAGCGAAGGGGCACGACAGAAGCCAGUCAAACUCUCCUCCCUAAAAUGACAGUAGAAAAUAAACAGAAGGGAUCUUGCCAGAACUCAGUCAUCAGCAGCCGGUUUGGAAGGGCAGUGACUGGAGGCUGGAAGGCAUCCGAGAAACGCUGGACGCUGAACCCUUUUCCAUUGCUUUCGAGCUUCGCAGGGCUUGGAGGCCCCAGAGAGGGAGCGGAGAUACAGCACCAGAAAAAAGGCAGCUGUUGCCACACUGAGCGGGUGGGAUGAAGACACGCCAGACGGAAGUCAAAUUCUAGGGGAUCGCUAGGUUGGGAAGUCACAGAGUGUCAGCACGAUUGGACUACACAACUCUUAACAUGCCUCCUUGGCCUGAGAAUCUGUGAGCGUAUGAAUCAAGCCUAAUUCAUUCUGUAUUCAACUUCUAGCCUCUGGUCCUGUGCGGGUUUCGAUCAGCUGCCCCGAGGGAAUGACCCGGAAUAUAUAUCAGAAAUAAGCUUUCAGGAAGAGUGACAGAUGAGUAUCAGUUCUAAUCCAACAAACUACACAUAUUUGAGCACACACCGUAUACUAGGUCAGGAGUCUCUGCAGAGAAAGGAUAGAUCAUCACAUUCUAGAGGGACUCAAAGUCAGGUAGGGAAGAAAGGCACUUCAUCUAGGGUACCGUGUGAUUAAAUGCUGUAAUAGACCAUCGCUUAAAGUGCUUGGAAAUAUAGAUGAAGGGUAAUUAAUCUGCCUCAGGGAGAGCUACAGAGAGAAAAUGAUUUUUUAACUGGGCCUUGAGUAUUAAGUCAUGGCAUUAACUGAUCAGACUUUGUGAGAAGAAAGCAAAUCGUCUGCUGUGAUGGGAAUGCGGGGCGAGGGAAGGAAAGUGGAAAGGUUGGAUGCAACCAAGUUUGUCUGCCAUGUUGAAGAAUAGGUACUUCUUUCUGCAGGAAUCGGGGAGCCGUUCAAGCCAUUUCUUAGAAACCUGUUUCUGGCAACAGAAACGCCUUUCAGGCACGGAGUCAAAAUGGAUCGAAGAUUCUAAGCAAGAUGGUAGGGCUAAUGAAGAUUAACGUGUUCUCUGCCUGGAGAUUCUUAGGGCAGAAAUGUUGUAUGAUCCUAAAGCAGAGAUCCUUCGUUUUUUAUGCCGUGGGCCCCUUUACGAGUUGGGUGAAACCUGUAAACUCCUUCUCAAAAUAAUGUUUUUAAAGGCAUAACAUAAAAUAUAUAGAGGAAACUGUAUUGAAAUACAGUUAUCAAGAUUCAAAAAGAAACCCAAAUCUGUCAUAUGGUAAUAUAUGUGCUUUUAAUUAACACAUUAAAUAAAAAUGAUCCAACAGUGA